GGGGGUAAAAACGGCAUGGCCUCUGAAAUCUGAGAGACCUCAAUCUGGAUCCUCUAUCUGCAGAGCUUCUAUAAUUAACCCAUGAGCUUCAAUUUCCUCCUCUCUCAAAUGAAGAUAAUAUCUACCUCUAGAAGGUUUCAUGACUGUUAAAUCAGAUUUUAUGUAAAACUAGUAUCCGGACGCUGCAGAUCGCAGUGGACGGUGUAGGCCGCUACAGGCCAUCAUGAGCCGGCUUCCGGAUGAGUACAAUCCCUACACGAUUGAAGAGCCUAGUGAAGAGGAGCCGGCUUUGAGCAGCUCUGAAGAUGAAGUGGAUGUGCUUUUACAUGGAACUCCUGACCAAAAACGAAAACUCAUCAGAGAAUGUCUUACUGGAGAAAGUGAAUCAUCUAGUGAAGAUGAAUUUGAAAAGGAAAUGGAAGCUGAAUUAAAUUCUACCAUGAAAACAAUGGAGGUAUCCUCUCUGGGAACUGGAUCUUCCUCAAGAAAUGGAAAAGUUGCAACAGCUCCAGCAAGAUACUAUGAUGAUACAUAUUUUGAUUUUGAUUCUGAGGAUGAAGACAAAGCAGUACCGGUGACCAAGAAAAAAAAGAAGAAACAACACAAGAUUCCAACAAAUGAUGAAUUACUAUAUGAUCCUGAAAAAGAAAACACAGAUCAGGCCUGGGUUGAUGCACAGAGAAGGGGUUACCAUGGUUUGGGACGACAGAGGUCACAUCAACAACAGACUGUUCCAAAUAAUGAUGCUGUCUUGAAUUGUCCUGCCUGCAUGACCACACUGUGCCUUGAUUGCCAAAGGCAUGAAUUGUACAAAACUCUAUAUAGAGUGAUGUUCGUGAUGAAUUGUUACAUUAACAAAGAGGAGGUUCUAAGAUAUAAAGCCUCAGAGAACAGGAAGAAAAGGCGGGGCCAUAAGAAGAUGAGGUCUAACCAGGAAGAUGCUGCCGAGAAGGCAGAGACAGAUGUGGAAGAAAUCUAUCACCCAGUCAUGUGCACCGAAUGUUCCACCGAAGUGGCAGUCUAUGACAAGGACAAAGUCUUUCAUUUUUUUCAAUGUUUUAGCAAGCCAUCCCUAAACAGCGUAAUUGGCAUUUAAUUACCCAAUACCAUAUAUAAGGCAAAUAUGGACAGUUACUUUCCUCCUGCCUGUUCCUAUCCUUAAGUGACAUUGAGGAAGCAGUGUUUUCUCUUUAUAAAGGAGAACAGUUGUCAACCUUGAUUCAUCUCUCACCCUCUCCUUUUUUUUUCCUUUGAUUUUCCCCCGUAUGGAUGGGACUGAUAUUCUCUUUUUGAUGAACAUUUGGAAACUAUGGGGCUUUUUAUUUAUUAAAGCUCUUUAAAAUUAAAAUGUUCUGGAGUCAUAAGCAA